UCCCUGGUAGUAUAUCGGUUAGUACACGCGCCUGUCAUAUGCCAUUCUGUGUAGACUAUAUGCGCGCGAAAGCUGGGUUCGACUCCCAGCCAGGGAG